AUGGGUAGAAAAGGUCAGGAACUGUCAACAGAUGUCAAAAACAUGAUUGUGGAAAUGUUCCAGAAUGGAUUUUCUCGACGAAAAAUCGCUGACAUACUUAGAAUUCCCAAGUCAACAGUUAUUGACAAUGUUCGAAAAUUUUUAGACACGGGUUCUGUGGAGAAUAAACCCAGAAGUGGCCGACCAUUGUUUGUAAAACCACGCGACUACCGCAAGCUUGAACGCAUUGUAAAGACAAGUCGGAGGAGCUCUUUAUGUGACAUAACAAACAAGUUUAAUGAGGAAAAUUGUGUUCCCGUGUCUAAACGUACCAUCCAGCACCAUUUACAUAAACAUGGGUAUCACAGGUGUGUAAAUAAGAAAAAAAUCGUGAUCCGGGAAGUCAAUCGGAAAAAAAGACUUGCAUGGUGCAGAGAAAAAAGGAGAUGGACGGUUAAUAACAACUGGAAAAAGGUUAUUUUCUCUGAUGAAAGUAAAAUCAUGAUUGGACAUGAUGAACGUGUGUACGUAUGGCGAAAAAGAGACGAGGGGUGGAGACCGGACCUUGUGCAACCGCGGACUUCACAAACUAAAUAUCAAGUCAUGAUUUGGGGUUGUAUUUGCUGGAAUGGCGUCGGGUACACUUACUCCUGUAGAAGGCAAUAUUAA
rnacentral:sRNA from 1 species